rnacentral:piRNA from 1 species
UAACUGAGGGAGCCGCUACUCUUGGA